GGUUCUCUGCCUUGUGCGACCAAGUCCGUCAUGAUAUAAUCCAACACCUAUGAAUAGGGAAUCCCGGCUCCGCGCACGGAUUGCAGACCUCCCACUUUGUGGACGAAGGGAGCGUGAACUGCGUGGGCGGAUACCCACCUGCUUUGUGCGGGUUUUAUUCUUCGGACGACGGCAAGGCGGAGUGCUU
rnacentral:other from 1 species